AUUGAACGCUGGCGGCAUGCCUUACACAUGCAAGUCGAACGGCAGCACGGGUGCUUGCACCUGGUGGCGAGUGGCGAACGGGAGAGUAAUACAUCGGAACAGGUCCUGUAGUGGGGGAUAGCCCGGCGAAAGCCGGAUUAAUACCGCAUACGAUCUACGGAUGAAAGCGGGGGACCUUCGGGCCUCGCGCUAUAGGGUUGGCCGAUGGCUGUUUAGAGAGGUGGUGGGGUAAAGGCCUACCAAGGCGACGCGCAGUAGCUGGUCUGAGAGAACGACCGGCCACACUGGGACUGAGACACGGCCCAGACUCCUACGGGAGGCAGCAGUGGGGAAUUUUGGACAAUGGGCGAAAGCCUGAUCCAGCAAUGCCGCGUGUGUGAAGAAGGCCUUCGGGUGUUAAAGCACUUUUGUCCGGGAAGAAGUCCUUGGCCCUAAUACGGUCAGGGGAUGACGGUACCGGAAGAAUAAGCACCGGCUAACUACGUG
rnacentral:rRNA from 1 species